rnacentral:tRNA from 1 species
AGUCUUAUAUUCAUGUUGUGAUAUUAGAAUGCAAUUCUACUGGGGUGGUAAAUAAGAUUACCAUUAAGGCUU